rnacentral:rRNA from 1 species
GAUGAACGCUGGCGGUGUGCUUAACACAUGCAAGUCGAGCGAAGCACUUAAGUUUGAUUCUUCGGAUGAAGACUUUUGUGACUGAGCGGCGACGGGUGAGUAACGCGUGGUAACUGCCUCAUACAGGGGGAUAACAGUUAGAAAUGACUGCUAAUACCGCAUAAGACCACAGGGUCGCAUGACCCGGUGGUAAAAACUCCGGUGGUAUGAGAUGGACCCGCAUCUGAUUAGCUAGUUGGGGGUGUAAUGGACCACCAAGGCGACGAUCAGUAGCUGGUUUGAGAGGAUGAUCAGCCACAAUGGGACUGAGACACGGCCCAU